rnacentral:rRNA from 1 species
UGAAGCAAGUGAGAGCGGCGGACGGGUGAGUAACGCGUGAGUAACCUGCCCUAUACAGGGGGAUAGCCAUUGGAAACGGUGAUUAAUACCCCAUAAGACCACGCCAUCGCAUGAUGAAGUGGUAAAAACUGAGGUGGUAUAGGAUGGACUCGCGUCUGAUUAGCUAGUUGGUGAGGUAAGGGCUCACCAAGGCGACGAUCAGUAACCGGCCUGAGAGGGUGAACGGUCACACUGGAACUGAGACACGGUCCAGACUCCUACGGGAGGCAGCAGUGGGGAAUAUUGCACAAUGGGGGAAACCCUGAUGCAGCGAUGCCGCGUGAACGAAGAAGGCUUUCGAGUCGUAAAGUUCUGAUUCUUAGGGAAGAAAAUGA